rnacentral:lncRNA from 1 species
AAUUUUCACUUUUAAGAGAGUGACAUUUCGAUAAUAUUUAAAGGUGAACAUGUUGAAUUGUUGAUUCUAUUGACAAGAACAAGGCGUGGGGCUGUAUUAGAAAAAGAAAAAGGCAGGCAUGAAUUGGGAGUGUUUGGUGUAAUAAUGUGCUAAAAUUAAGGUCUUCAGGAAAUAAAACAUAAAAAGUUAAGCAAGUGCGAGAAAUGUCAACAUGAGGCAUUUUAGUUGUAAAAAAUUUAACGAAUGUCAAUAUUUAAGUGAUCUUGAUGCAUCCGAUAUACACAAUAAUUACACAAAAUAAUUUCUCAAUUGUUGUAAGGUGAUAUGCCUAGUUGCAGUUUAGCUGCAAAAAGAAAAAAAAAUCAACAAAUGUCAAGAUUUAAGUGGUCGAAUACACUGCUAACGUGGUAUAUCUGGUACACACAACUCAUUAUGGAAAUGAUUUAUCUGAGAACCAGCAGAAAGAAUACUAAAUGAACUUCUAGUUUAAAAAGGAAAAUGAUCCUCGCCGGAUCCUUUUUCUAAGCAUUUUAUAAUCACAUCCGUUCAUCGUAUAUCGUGCGGUCAGUUUUCGUUAGGUACUAUUCAUAUUUAAUUUUAAAUUUUAAAUUUUAAAAUAAUUUCUGACCGUACGAUAUACGAUGAACAAGUAAGAUCACGGGAUCCCUAGGAAAAGAUCCGGCGAGGAUCCUUUCCCGUUUAAAAAAGACAUGCACUAGUAGCACUAGCAAGCAGGCGACAAAGAUUCAACUAUUGUAAGGUAUCAUAUAAAAUAUUGAUUUUAAUUCAGAUUAAUUGACGUAGCUUUUUGUUUUAUUGAGUAAAUUUCUUUUUCUUUUAUAUUUUGUUGUCAAAUAUUAGGGUAAAUCCUAAUUCCUUGCGUUGAAACUCCAUGUGCAUAAAGGACCGUAGAUGCAUGGUUGUCUAAUGGUAAAAUACAACGAGGGCCGAGUUGUGUUUUGAUUAUUAACCCAUAAAUAGAAUUCGAAGAGAAGGAGAAGGAGGACUAAGAAUCAAAUUCUUGUUGAAGUUCUAUACUAAAUUUGUUGAGAUAGAAGUAAAAAUGAGGCAGAUACAAUAUGAGUUGUUUACUGACCUGAGAUCUAAACAAAUAAAUUCGAAUGGUAUGGCCAAACACUGUAGGCGUGAGAGUUUUUUUUUUUUUUUUUAAACAAAAAAUUAUCAUGGCAAUUGUGAAUUACUUUGGUGGUUAGAAAAUUGCUAUUUUACUCUCUACAUUCCAAAUUCAAAACACUCUGAUUCCCUUACUAUAUAUAAGUGCAAAAUAUCGACUGUGACAAAACAAAUCGAUAUAAUUCACUUAAUACAAAUCCUUUUUCUUUUUCUUUUUUGUUGAGGAAAUCCUAUUUAAUUUUCGGAAAAAUUUUCACAUAAACUUCUUGUACUUGCGUCGAGUUGAUUAAAGCCAAGUACUUGCGUCGAGUUCAUUUCUUUUUGGCCAAAAUUAAGUCAAAUACUUCUUCAGCUUGGAAAGGUAUUUUGAGCUCUAUAGAUCUUCUUUUGAAAGGUUUGAUAUCAGGAACGAAGCCAAAAAUUUAACUAAGAGGGGGCACCUUAAAAAAUUUGAGCUCCUUUUUUAGACAAAUAAAGCUAGUUCUUUUACAAAUGUUGAAAAAA